rnacentral:rRNA from 1 species
CCUGGCUCAGGAUGAACGCUAGCGGCAGGCUUAAUACAUGCAAGUCGAGGGCAGCACGAAUAGCAAUAUUGGUGGCGACCGGCGCACGGGUGCCGUAACACGUAUACAACCUACCUAUAACAGGGGGAUAGCCUUUCGAAAGAGAGAUUAAUACCCCGUAAUAAAUUGAGUGGCAUCACUUGAUUUUGAAAGCUACGGCGGUUAUAGAUGGGUAUGCGUCUGAUUAGCUAGUUGGUGAGGUAACGGCUCACCAAGGCGACGAUCAGUAGGGGAUCUGAGAGGACUAACCCCCACACUGGUACUGAGACACGGACCAGACUCCUACGGGAGGCAGCAGUAAGGAAUAUUGGUCAAUGGAGGCAACUCUGAACCAGCCAUGCCGCGUGCAGGAUGACGGCCCUAUGGGUUGUAAACUGCUUUUGUACCAGAGAAAACCUACUCACGUGUGAGUAGCUGAUAGUAUGGUAAGAAUAAGCAUCGGCUAACUUCGUG